rnacentral:rRNA from 1 species
UGCAAGUCGAACGGCAGCACGGGAGCUUGCUCCUGGUGGCGAGUGGCGAACGGGUGAGUAAUACAUCGGAACGUACCCAGUAGUGGGGGAUAACGCACCGAAAGGUGCGCUAAUACCGCAUACGACCUAAGGGUGAAAGCGGGGGACCGUAAGGCCUCGCGCUAUUGGAGCGGCCGAUGUCUGAUUAGCUAGUUGGUGAGGUAAAGGCUCACCAAGGCUUCGAUCAGUAGCUGGUCUGAGAGGACGAUCAGCCACACUGGGACUGAGACACGGCCCAGACUCCUACGGGAGGCAGCAGUGGGGAAUUUUGGACAAUGGGCGAAAGCCUGAUCCAGCAAUGCCGCGUGUGCGAAGAAGGCCUUCGGGUUGUAAAGCACUUUUGUCAGGGAAGAAAUCUUUUAGGCUAAUACCCUGGAAGGGUGACGGUACCUGAAGAAUAAGCACCGGCUAACUACGUGCCAGCAGCCGCGGUAAUACGUAGGGUGCAAGCGUUAAUCGGAAUUACUGGGCGUAAAGCGUGCGCAGGCGGUUUGUUAAGACAGUCGUGAAAUCCCCGGGCUUAACCUGGGAACUGCGAUUGUGACUGGCAAGCUAGAGUACGGCAGAGGGGGGUGGAAUUCCUGGUGUAGCAGUGAAAUGCGUAGAGAUCAGGAGGAACACCGAUGGCGAAGGCAGCCCCCUGGGCUAGUACUGACGCUCA